UGCAUCGGCCGGGAAUCGAACUUGGGCCGCCCGCAUUGCAAGCGAGCAUUUUACCACUGAACCACCGAUGC
rnacentral:tRNA from 1 species